rnacentral:rRNA from 1 species
GGAUGAACGCUAGCGGCAGGCUAAUACAUGCAAGUCGAACGGACGGUAGCAAUACCGUUAGUGGCGCACGGGUGCGUAACGCGUAACCAACCUACCCUUGACUGGGGGAUAGCCCGCCGAAAGGCGGAUUAAUACCGCAUAAGACGAUAGAGGGGCAUCUCUUAGUCGUUAAAGAUUUAUUGGUCAAGGAUGGGGUUGCGUAGCAUUAGCUAGAUGGUGUGGUAACGGCGCACCAUGGCGACGAUGCUUAGGGGAGCUGAGAGGCUGAUCCCCCACACUGGCACUGAGAUACGGGCCAGACUCCUACGGGAGGCAGCAGUAGGGAAUAUUGGGCAAUGGCCGAGAGGCUGACCCAGCCAUGCCGCGUGCCGGAUGAAGGCCUUCUGGGUUGUAAACGGCUUUUCUCAGGGAAGAAAAAGACUCUGCGGAGUACACUGACGGUACCUGAGGAAUAAGCACCGGCUAACUCCGUGCCAGCAGCCGCGGUAAUACGGAGGGUGCGAGCGUUGUCCGGAUUUAUUGGGUUUAAAGGGUGCGUAGGCGGCUUGCUAAGUCCGGGGUGAAAGCCCACUGCUCAACAGUGGAACUGCCCUGGAUACUGGCAAGCUUGAGUCCAGACGAGGUUGGCGGAAUAGAAGCUGUAGCGGUGAAAUGCAUAGAUAGCUUCUAGAACCCCGAUUGCGAAGGCAGCUGACUAGGCUGGCACUGACGCUGAGGCACGAAAGCGUGGGGAGCGAACAGGAUUAGAUACCCUGGUAGUCCACGCCGUAAACGAUGGAUACUCGCUGGUAGCGAUAGAGUGUUACUGGCUUAGCGAAAG